rnacentral:rRNA from 1 species
UGCGUAGGUGGCGCCGUAAGUCGGGUGUGAAAUUUCGGAGCUUAACUCCGAAACUGCAUUCGAUACUGCGGUGCUUGAGGACUGGAGAGGAGACUGGAAUUCAUGGUGUAGCAGUGAAAUGCGUAGAGAUCAUGAGGAAGACCAGUGGCGAAGGCGGGUCUCUGGACGGUUCCUGCACUGAGGCAAGGCCAGGGGAGCAAAC